GGGGCGACAGUGUCCCCGCCCGCCCCCGGCCGGGUCGCGGGCAUGAAGGACAGCUGGAUCGCGGCGGGGGGCGGAGGUGGGGCGGCCCGGGCCCCUGGACUCUAGACCUACGCCGCCCGGGCACGAAGGCCCAGCCCUGGCCCUGGCCGCGGUCUCAGCCCGGGACCCCGGAUCGCGCAGAAAUGCACUGAACAGGCCCCUACAAUUGGGCUCCAGAAACUACCUGAGCUCGGACUACCUGUUGCCUCACAUUGGCAAAAGAGGGGGAAACCAGAAGGAGGGAAUUCUGCUGCGGCGACUUGACUUUCCCCGCCCCGAGCAGAAAGGCAUUGACGUUUGUAGGCGGUGACCCGCCCCUUCUCUGGCCUUCUGCGUGAUGGGGUCUCCAUGCACUUUAUUUAUUUGCAGUCUGUUUUCUAGGCGGUGGAGCUUCUAGACACCGACCGGAAUGACAUACGUUUCUGUGUGUGA
rnacentral:lncRNA from 1 species